rnacentral:rRNA from 1 species
AUUGAACGCUGGCGGCAGGCCUAACACAUGCGAGUCGAGCGGAUGAAGGGAGCUUGCUCCUGGAUUCAGCGGCGGACGGGUGAGUAAUGCCUAGGAAUCUGCCUGGUAGUGGGGGAUAACGUCCGGAAACGGGCGCUAAUACCGCAUACGUCCUGAGGGAGAAAGUGGGGGAUCUUCGGACCUCACGCUAUCAGAUGAGCCUAGGUCGGAUUAGCUAGUUGGUGGGGUAAAGGCCUACCAAGGCGACGAUCCGUAACUGGUCUGAGAGGAUGUUCAGUCACACUGGAACUGAGACACGGUCCAGACUCCUACGGGAGGCAGCAGUGGGGAAUAUUGGACAAUGGGCGAAAGCCUGAUCCAGCCAUGCCGCGUGUGUGAAGAAGGUCUUCGGAUUGUAAAGCACUUUAAGUUGGGAGGAAGGGCAGUAAGUUAAUACCUUGCUGUUUUGACGUUACCAACAGAAUAAGCACCGGCUAACUUCGUG